rnacentral:sRNA from 1 species
CAGGAAGAGAAAGAAGAAA